GACGAACGCUGGCGGCGUGCUUAACACAUGCAAGUCGAACGGAAAGGCCCUGCUUUUGUGGGGUGCUCGAGUGGCGAACGGGUGAGUAACACGUGAGUAACCUGCCCUUGACUUUGGGAUAACUUCAGGAAACUGGGGCUAAUACCGGAUAGGAGCUCCUGCUGCAUGGUGGGGGUUGGAAAGUUUCGGCGGUUGGGGAUGGACUCGCGGCUUAUCAGCUUGUUGGUGGGGUAGUGGCUAACCAAGGUUUCGACGGGUAGCCGGCCUGAGAGGGUGACCGGCCACAUUGGGACUGAGAUACGGCCCAGACUCCUACGGGAGGCAGCAGUGGGGAAUAUUGCACAAUGGGCGGAAGCCUGAUGCAGCAACGCCGCGUGCGGGAUGACGGCCUUCGGGUUGUAAACCGCUUUCGCCUGUGACGAAGCGUGAGUGACGGUAAUGGGUAAAGAAGCACCGGCUAACUACGUG
rnacentral:rRNA from 1 species